UACAGAGGUCUCAAGCGUUGUUCGGAUUCAUUGGGCGUAAAGGGCGCGUAGGCUGCGGGGCAAGUCGGGUGUGAAAUCUCAGAGCUCAACUCUGAAACUGCACUCGAUACUGCUUUGCUCGAGGACUGGAGAGGAGAUUGGAAUUCACGGUGUAGCAGUGAAAUGCGUAGAUAUCGUGAGGAAGACCAGUGGCGAAGGCGGAUCUCUGGACAGUUCCUGACGCUGAGGCGCGAAGGCCAGGGGAGCGAAACGGG
rnacentral:rRNA from 1 species